rnacentral:lncRNA from 1 species
AACUCAGACUGUAGUCUUCGCUUUAAUCCCUCUUUUGGCUGGAUCACCCUUUCGGGUUUUCAAUCCACCGGGAUACCCAUUUUUGCCUAAGCCGCCCUCGCGGGUUUUCGACUUACCGGGUGUACAAAUUCUUUUCAUUUUUAUCCCUAAUUUUUGCCCGAACCUUUUCUUUCUCAAUCCACCGGGAUACCCAUUUUUGCCUAAGCCGCCCUCGCGGGUUUUCGACUUACCGGGUGUACAAAUUCUUUUCAUUUUUAUCCCUAAUUUUUGCCCGAACCUU